ACAAUUAAACUGAAAACUAAUCAGCGUCUACGUGGACAUCUGGGAGAAUAUGAAGCAUGUCUCUGUUUAACAAUGCCUUGAGAAAUCUAUUGAUCAGUUCCUCUUUUUUCUUUCUGUGUUUUAGUAGGUGCUGAAUUUGCUAUUUAUCUCCUAUGCAGAUUGUGAGUGAUGUGAAGUUUACUGUUAACCAAGCAGUGGAGCC
rnacentral:misc_RNA from 1 species